rnacentral:lncRNA from 1 species
ACGUUAUAUAAUGGUUUUUCCAGAUUUAUAUGGACUUCAGUGGCUAAGAUAAGAAGGAAAUGCAGUUCUCCUCCUUGUUUCAUCUCUUCCUCUUGAUUUGCAGGGGUUAAAAACUUGGGAUCUGUGUGCCAAAAUAUUUUUACAAAAAGUUUUACUCUGAAGUCAAGCUGUUCUAAUCUCUACCCCUCAGUUAUCUGAAUGGACCCACAUGGAACUAGGGAGAGAAAAUUAAAGUGAAGAGAAAAAUAAAUUUUGUAGAUUCAUUAAGAUGAAUAACUGUUCUUUUUGAUGGUAUUGGCUGUGACAAAAGUCUUGACUGGGAAUCUACAGGGAUUGCAGGGAAUGUGGAUCUCUGUUUCUUCCACCACUCAGCUUACUUCUCCUGAUCCUUGUACGUACCUGGAAAGGGAGGGAACUCCUUACAAACCUCAACCUCAAUUGUACACCUGCAGGCUGAAUUGGGUUGAGUCUUCUACUUCCAGAUUGCACAGAAAUUAUUGCAGAAUCUGUAUUUAGAAAGACUGAGUUCUGUGUUUUCUUCAUAUGUCCAUCUUCUUUUUCUUCAUCUGUCAUGUUAAAGUGACUGGGAGUUUUGCCAUAAAAUUUAAUGGGAGUAAAGUAAGAUCCAGUUAUUAUCCUUUAUGUCAAUGCAAAAUUUGUAUGUAACUGUUUAACUAGAGCAGUUUUGAUUCUUUGUUUUUCAUUUGCACUCUUCCUUAUGAUUUGGGAUUGUUUGUGUUCCUUGCAAAUGAAUGAAAUUGAAGUGGAAGUACCUAAGCAUAUGUAAAUGCUACCUUUCUGUAGUAAGUUUUAGCAUUCCAGAUUCAACCACUUUAGCUAUGGCUAAAAGUGUGGUUAGAUUUUUCUCUUCCAACAAAUUAGAAUGUGUUUUAUCUUACUUUCCUAUAAAUUAGAAACAUCUGAAGGGAAUUUGAUCAAAUAUCAAAAUAUUUAACUUUGCUAUGCUCAGCCUUUACUCAACAUUUACCUCUAAAAUCAAGUGAUUUAGAAAGAGACUAUGGAAAACUCUUGUAGUAUUGUUUAGAGUACACAUAAUGGAGAUAUGGUAAUCUGUGAGCUUGUCUUAGAGCCCAAUAUACAGUACAGAAUUCGCUUUCUGCAGGAUGGGGAUUGUGGGGCAAAUUUGGUACAAGUUUUGUUAACUCUGGCAAACUCUCUUCAGUUUUUACUGAUUAAAUAGGCAAUAAGAGCAACAAAGAGAAGACUUUUCUCUUCAGGAUUUUAUUCAGUCUGCCUAAUCUGGGAAGUGGGAGACUUCAUUUAAAAUAUAAUAUUUAGGGAAAGUCGAGUGUGACACCUCUGUUUUCUCUUGAGCGCAUUACUCUUUUCACUUUUCCUCACCAAGUGUAUUUCCUUCAGUGAGGAGAGAGAAAAGAUCAUAACCUGUUUGUUCACACUUAACUGGGGUUGUUCUUACUCAUUAGAGAAAGUGUAUAAUGUCCAUGUGAGUGGCACAGUAUGAGAACUACUCUGAAUGUCUAAUCAGACAUUAAAC